UUCCUGCCCCGGACGGGUGCCCCCUGCCCGCACCCCCGACCCCCUGCCCCCGCCGGGCACCCCCUGCCCGCACCCCAAAUCUGCAGCCCGCAGCUCCGGUCUCGGGGUUCGGAGGCCUCAGGGGACACAUCCUUAGGAAAUGAAAGUAGUUGCUCACUUUUCUGCUCCGAGGGCCCUGGCGCGGGUAGGCCGCGAAUCCCCGGGCUCGGGUGGGGAGUCCGUGGCCGUGGGAACUGGGGUUCGUGGGAUGGACUUUCGGGUGGGUUUUCUUCUUUCCACUGAAAUGUGGAGUCGGGUUUUACCAGCAGACGAGGAGGAGGAGGUGGGAGCUGGGCCCGCCCGGCUCCUGCGUUAAAACCCCGAGCCCUGGGGCUGGUGGUCGGAGGUGGGGCCUUGGAAGGGGAUUAGGGUUGUUUUUUUAAAAUAUAUUUUUAUUGAUUUCAAAGAGGAAGGGAGAGAGAGAAACGUCAAUGAUGAGAGAGAAUCACGGAUCCUCAUGGAUUGGCUGCCCCCUGCACGCCCUGCCCUGGGGACCCAGCCGCAACCCCGGCUUGUGCCCUGACCCGGGACCAGGCGGGGUAGUGGGGGUGGGGGGGACCUCCCAGGUCUUAGGUCCCAGGUCCCCGGUGGAGGGACCACUGAGCCAGCCCGGGCCGGGGACUAGGCCUUGAGAGAGGGUCCGGGUGACCCAGAUUAGGGCGUUUACAGGAGAAACCCCACUGAGCCCUCGGGUCUGCCCCGUGAGAAUAGGUGAGACACAGGCCCUGCUGGCACCGGGGUCGGACCUGCAGCCUCCAGAAGCCCAGAAAUAAAUGUCUUUUCUUGAGUCACCCCGUCCAUUGUAUUCUGUUACAGCGCCUGCCGGAAACGGUGUCAGUUGGGGAGAUGUGGCCUAGAGGACACGCCCUGCGCUCAGCGUCCAUUCGUGUUGGAGUGCGUGUCUCACUGGCCUGAUGUUGGCAUCAUCCAGGUCCAGCCACCAGAGGUUCGGGUCUCCCAAGGCCACUUUUCUGCAGACGUAAGUGGAGCCUCAGUUCUCUGGCCUUUUCUCAUUUGUAAGGUGAGACAAUGUGUUCAGGUCCUCUCACUGUUGAUAGGAUUCAGUGGGAUAAUAUUUGCAAAGCCUGGAAGCUUCAGUAAAUACUGGCCCUUCCACGGCACAGCGGUGAGGGGCUCCAUUGGGUGCCAGCUUCGUCGAGUCCUCGCCAUGUGAUGCUGGGCAUGGUCACUUUUCAUGCUUCCAGGGCCUCAUCCGUAACAGUUAUUAUCCCUGCACAGAGGGUGUUGUGAUGAUGGAACUGCAGCGAACAUGCCUGAAGAUGCCUCUCAGUAAACAAAAACAUACCAAAGACGAAAAACAAAUGUCCAGGUUUUUUUCUACCACAACUCACUCUGCUCACUAGACUCGCUUGGAGCUUCAGGGAAUACUGUUCCCCGGAUCGAGGCUCUGAUGUAAUUGGUCCAGGACGGGGCCUCGGCACCGGAACCGCAUAGAAGCACCCAGGUGACCAAUGUUCCACCAGGACGGGAACAGCUGUGUCAGAACUCAAACACGUACCCCCCCCCUUUUUCUUUAUUGGAUUUUUUUGCUUGUACGUAACACGUGAUUUUUCUUUCUUUUUUCAAUUUAUUCAGAGCCUGAUCCUAUAAGGUUCGGGGUAAUAAUCUGUCCCCUUUGCCCUUGAGUUCUUGCCUUACUGUGUGUGCGGGGAGGUGCAGGGAGAACUGACCUAGAAUCACAGGCCCCGGAUCCCGGGGCUGACGGCCACCAAGGGGCUUUUCCAUCUUCUGCUCCGGGAGCUGUUCAGUCGCACUGGAGGGAGCCACACGCUGUAACGGGAGCUGAUCGUGCCUCUUUGCGAAUAUUAAACCGAUGGUAACUAAUUUAGAUGAGAAGAUGUAAAGAAAUAGAAGCACGGGAACUUUUUAAUGCUUGGCUCGCUGUCAAAACUCUCGUUUCUGUGGCUCUAACCCAAAGAGGAGAAGCCUCGGAUGACUUCCUGAGGGACCGGGAUGGUCACAGGUGUUUGCAGGAGGCCUCAGAAACGGCCGUUUUCAUAGACGUGACCGUCAGCAGUUCACAUGGGCGAGGCAACAGCAGCUGCUGCCCCCAUUGCACAGAUGAGAGACUGAGCCUCAGAGCGGUGAGGGCACCCAGGUCACAGACUGCGUGGUGGCACGUGGCCUCGUAUGGAGCUCUCCCAUCCUAUCUUCCUCGUUCACGUCGCCGGCCACACACACAGGCAUGUUCACUCUGCUCUCAGCCUCUGGGAGCCUCAGGGUCCCUCCUUCCGCCCCUCCCCUUCCACAGGCAGAGGCAGGGCACAGCCCUACAGCAGGGGUUCCUUCCAGCCUGGCCGCCAUCCCCAAACCUAAGAACAGUGUCGUCUACUCCGCACGCUCAACUUCACCUUCCAAAUGCCUUUGACAGCUUUUUUCUGGGCAGAGCAGAUUCUCCAUCCAGGGGCCUGUAAUGGUUCGAAAUCCGUUUCCGACAAGCCGUUUGCUAGUAGUUACUGAAUCACAAAUCACGGCUGGUUCUUGAGGGGAGCCCUUCCCUCAUGCGAGACCCCCCUUUUUCCUGGUGGCCUUUGGGGAUACAUUUCUGCACAUGGGUGCCUCUCCCUGUUGUUGGGAAUCGAAGCUGGUAGAAACGUCAUUUGCUCAUAGAUAGGUUGCUUUUCUUAAUAAAAAUAUUCUUUCUAAAUUAAGUGAUAUUUUUAUUAAUAAAGGCAAUUUCAUAUUU